GAAGUUGAUAAAGAGGAAGCCACUAGUGUGAUAAAUGUGGGAGAAAGCACAGAAGCAAUAGUAGUAGAGUCGCAAACCAUUAUUUUAAGGAGAGGAAUCUUGUUGUUGAAGUUUUCAAAACUAAGUUACUUUGGUUUAAAGUGAUAGCUUUCUGCUAUCGUGCAAGGUGGUCCAUACGACAAAGAUUGAAGUUGUGUCUUAAUAUCAUCAAUGAUAAUAAGAACUAAACGAGGAAAAGAGAAGUAGAGGAAGACCAAGAAUUCAUCUAAUUAGAGCUAAUCAAUCUACUAACUAAAGCACAUCAUCAAUUCCAAGGACAGUCUUAGCUAGGGACAGAAGAAUGGCAAGGUCUGAACAUGGUGUAUUCAUCAGUGAAGAAUCAGGCAGAACAUAUACAAGGAUUCCAGGUGAGAGAAAUAUCAAAUGGGUUAGUGGAUCUACUAGAGCAGCCUAAGCUGCAAUAAUGAAUGCCACUGAUGUUAACUAGAAUAUGGAACCAUGUCCUCAGCUAAUUGGAUCUCAGGCACCUACUAAAACUGAUGUACCUAUAGACAUGGAAAACUGAUGUACCUGCAGACUAUGUAUUUUGACUCAGGCAGAAGAAUGAUGUGCAUCUAUAUCUUUUUUGUCACUUUUGUGAAUUAAGGUUUUAUAAAGUAUAGGUAGUACUUGUGGUUAUCAUAUGAUGUAAUA